AGUGAACGCUGGCGGUAGGCCUAACACAUGCAAGUCGAACGGCAGCACAGUAAGAGCUUGCUCUUACGGGUGGCGAGUGGCGGACGGGUGAGGAAUACAUCGGAAUCUACUUUUUCGUGGGGGAUAACGUAGGGAAACUUACGCUAAUACCGCAUACGACCUACGGGUGAAAGCAGGGGAUCUUCGGACCUUGCGCGAUUGAAUGGGCCGAUGUCGGAUUAGCUAGUUGGCGGGGUAAAGGCCCACCAAGGCGACGAUCCGUAGCUGGUCUGAGAGGAUGAUCAGCCACACUGGAACUGAGACACGGUCCAGACUCCUACGGGAGGCAGCAGUGGGGAAUAUUGGACAAUGGGCGCAAGCCUGAUCCAGCCAUACCGCGUGGGUGAAGAAGGCCCUCGGGUUGUAAAGCCCUUUUGUUGGGAAAGAAAAGCAGCAGGUUAAUACCCCGCUGUUCUGACGGUACCCAAAGAAUAAGCACCGGCUAACUUCGUG
rnacentral:rRNA from 1 species